CAAUAGCGUAUAUUAAAGUUGUUGCAGUUAAAGAGCUCGUAGUUGGAUUUCUGGUUGAAGCGACCGGUCGGGCGUUGAUUCGUCUGCACUGGAGUCGGUUUUGGCCAUCCUCUAGGAAAGUGCGUCUGGUAUUAAGUUAUCGGGCGUAUGAUCCUGGUCUUUUACUGUGAAAAAAUUAGAGUGUUUAAAGCAGGCCUUCGCCUUGAAUACAUUAGCAUGGAAUAAUAAGAUAGGACUUUGGUCUAUUUUGUUGGUUUGCAGACCGAAGUAAUGAUUAAUAGGGAUAGUUGGGGGUAUUUAUAUUCCGAUGUCAGAGGUGAAAUUCUUAGAUUUUCGGAAGAUAAACUUAUGCGAAAGCAUUUACCAAGGAUGUUUUCAUUAA
rnacentral:rRNA from 1 species